rnacentral:tRNA from 1 species
CAGGACGUAGCUACAAACCACAAAGCAUUCAGCUUACACCUGAAAGAUGUCUACUAACUGAGACCGACCUGA